rnacentral:rRNA from 1 species
UGACAUGCUAGGAAGUCCGCAGAGAUGUGGAUGUGCCCGAAAGGGAACCUAGACACAGGUGCUGCAUGGCUGUCGUCAGCUCGUGUCGUGAGAUGUUGGGUUAAGUCCCGCAACGAGCGCAACCCUUGCCAUUAGUUGCGACAUUUAGUUGAGCACUCUAAUGGGACCGCCGGUGACAAACCGGAGGAAGGUGGGGAUGACGUCAAGUCCUCAUGGCCCUUAUGGGUAGGGCUUCACACGUAAUACAAUGGUCGGUACAGAGGGCUGCCAACCCGCGAGGGGGAGCUAAUCCCAGAAAGCCGAUCGUAGUCCGGAUUGUAGUCUGCAACUCGACUGCAUGAAGCCGGAAUCGCUAGUAAUCGCGGAUCAGCAUGUCGCGGUGAAUACGUUCCCGGGUCUUGUACACACCGCCCGUCACACCAUGGGAGUGGGUUCCACCAGAAGUAGGUAGCCUAACCGCAAGGAGGGCGCUUACCACGGUGAGAUUCAUGACUGGGGUGAAGUCGUAACAAGGUAACC